rnacentral:rRNA from 1 species
UUUGACAUGCAAGUGGUGGAAUCCGAAGUGACCGACCCUUCGGGAGGCUUGCACAGGUGCUGCAUGGCUGUCGUCAGCUCGUGUCGUGAGAUGUUCGGUUAAGUCCGCUAACGAGCGCAACCCUCGUCGUGUGUUAUACGUGUCACACGGUACUGCCGGUAUCAAGCCGGAGGAAGGUGGGGAUGAUGUCAAGUCAGCAUGGCCUUUAUAUCCUGGGCUACACACACGCUACAAUGGCAGAUACAAUAGGUUGCGAAACCGCGAGGUGGAGCCAAUCCUCAAAGUCUGUCUCAGUUCAGAUUGUAGGCUGCAACUCGCCUGCAUGAAGUUGGAGUUGCUAGUAAACGCAGGUCAGCUAUACUGCGGUGAAUACGUUCCCGGGGCUU